GGCAGUGUAGCAGAGUGGUAAGGCGCAGGGCCUGUAACCAAGAGGUUGCCAGUUUGAUUCUCCACUGGGG